rnacentral:rRNA from 1 species
UGGGGAAUAUUGGACAAUGGGCGAAAGCCUGAUCCAGCCAUGCCGCGUGUGUGAAGAAGGUCUUCGGAUUGUAAAGCACUUUAAGUUGGGAGGAGGGGCAGUAAGCGAGUACCUUGCUGUUUUGACGUUACCGACAGAAUAAGCACCGGCUAACUCUGUGCCAGCAGCCGCGGUAAUACAGAGGGUGCAAGCGUUAAUCGGAAUUACUGGGCGUAAAGCGCGCGUAGGUGGUUCGUUAAGUUGAAUGUGAAAGCCCCGGGCUCAACCUGGGAACUGCAUCCAAAACUGGCGAGCUAGAGUAGGGCAGAGGGUGGUGGAAUUUCCUGUGUAGCGGUGAAAUGCGUAGAUAUAGGAAGGAACACCAGUGGCGAAGGCGACCACCUGGGCUCAUACUGACACUGAGGUGCGAAAGCGUGGGGAGCAAACAGG